GGCUCAGAUUGAACGCUGGCGGCGUGCUUAACACAUGCAAGUCGAACGCGAAAGGGACUUCGGUCCUGAGUAAAGUGGCGCACGGGUGAGUAACGCGUGGAUAAUCUGCCCUUAUGAUCGGGAUAACAGUUGGAAACGGCUGCUAAUACCGGAUACGCUCAAAAUGAACUUUUUGAGGAAAGAUGGCCUCUGCUUGCAUGCUAUCACGUAAGGAUGAGUCCGCGUCCCAUUAGCUUGUUGGCGGGUAACGGCCCACCAAGGCAACGAUGGGUAGCCGAUUUGAGAGGAUGAUCGGCCACACUGGAACUGAAACACGGUCCAGACUCCUACGGGAGGCAGCAGUGGGGAAUAUUGCGCAAUGGGCGAAAGCCUGACGCAGCGACGCCGCGUGAAGGGAUGAAGGUUUUCGGAUCGUAAACCUCUGUCAGAAGGGAAGAAACUACGUUGUGCUAAUCAGCAGCGUACUGACGGUACCUUCAAAGGAAGCACCGGCUAACUCCGUGCCAGCCGCUGC
rnacentral:rRNA from 1 species